GCUCAUUUGUGCACAUGCGCAGAUCGGACUGUAGAUCACCUUUAAACUAAAAAGGAAGGCCAUUGUAAGGAUCGGCAGUUGAAUCAAACGAUGAAAGUCAACGCUCGAGGCAGCUCAUUUCGCCAUUUCAGUACACGCUCAAUGAUAUUUACCAAAGAUGCGCCAAUGCAUGAUGCAUUGUACACAGUAAACAAUAACACAGUAGACAAUAACAAAAAGCAAACCAACUAGCCCACCAUACCUUGGGAAAAUGUUAACUGCUCUGCAUUGGGAAUUCUACGCAAUGCUGAACGAGUUUAAAUGGGGAUGUUAAGAUCUGAGAGACCAACUUAGAGUAGCGAAGCAGGUGUAAUUACAAGGAUGUUCUACAUCAUACAUAUACCGUCACAUGUCUUGUGAUCAUUUGCAUUCAAACGAUACCCAGUUGGGCAAGUACACUGGUAACCUCCAAGGAAAUUUUCGCAUUGUUCUUGACAGCCAUGUCCGUUGCCAGCACACUCAUUAAUGUCUAAUCAAAGAGC